rnacentral:rRNA from 1 species
UACGUAGGGUGCAAGCGUUGUCCGGAAUUAUUGGGCGUAAAGAGUGUGUAGGCGGUGCUUUAAGUUCGGUGUGAAAUCUCCUGGCUUAACUGGGAGGGUGCGCCGGAAACUGGAGUGCUCGAGCGUGGGAGAGGAAAGCGGAAUUCCUGGUGUAGCGGUGAAAUGCGUAGAUAUCAGGAGGAACACCUGUGGUGUAGACGGCUUUCUGGACCAUAGCUGACGCUGAGACACGAAAGCGUGGGUAGCAAACAGG